rnacentral:rRNA from 1 species
GGACGAACGCUGGCGGCGUGCCUAAUACAUGCAAGUAGAACGCUGAAGGAGGAGCUUGCUUCUCUGGAUGAGUUGCGAACGGGUGAGUAACGCGUAGGUAACCUGCCUGGUAGCGGGGGAUAACUAUUGGAAACGAUAGCUAAUACCGCAUAAGAGUAGAUGUUGCAUGACAUUUGCUUAAAAGGUGCAAUUGCAUCACUACCAGAUGGACCUGCGUUGUAUUAGCUAGUUGGUGGGGUAACGGCUCACCAAGGCGACGAUACAUAGCCGACCUGAGAGGGUGAUCGGCCACACUGGGACUGAGACACGGCCCAGACUCCUACGGGAGGCAGCAGUAGGGAAUCUUCGGCAAUGGACGGAAGUCUGACCGAGCAACGCCGCGUGAGUGAAGAAGGGUUUCGGAUCGUAAAGCUCUGUUGUAAGAGAAGAACGAGUGUGAGAGUGGAAAGUUCACACUGUGACGGUAUCUUACCAGAAAGGGACGGCUAACUACGUG